rnacentral:rRNA from 1 species
UUUAUGGAGAGUUUGAUCCUGGCUCAGGAUGAACGCUGGCGGCGUGCCUAAUACAUGCAAGUCGAGCGAACAGACGAGAAGCUUGCUUCUCUGAUGUUAGCGGCGGACGGGUGAGUAAC